AUAAAUAUCAAAACUGAAGGUGUUUUCUUGACGGGGCACGAGGGACGACCGAACAAGCAAGAUUUAAAGCCUACGAAUAUUUUUAAAAGUGAAGGUGUUUUCUUGACUUGUUCUUAAGAGAAGACUUUUUAGAGCAGAUAAUUUUGUAAAAAGAGGAUGGUCUGGCAACACAUCUUAUGUGUUGUGUGGGGCUGAUGUUGAAACUGUGGACCAUCUAUUUUUACGGUGUGUUUUUACUCGUAUUUUUUUUGGUGAUGUCGGUGGAGGAUGCCCUUUGUAGGGAUCCGGAUGACGACGUGGUCUUUGUUUGGGUUAGAUGGAUGGCGGGGAAUAGAUCGCGACCAUAUCUUAAUAGUUUGAGUCGUUUAGUAGCUUGAUGGUGGGUUACCUGAAAGGCCGGAAAUGGCACGAUUUUUCGCAACGCCCUACUGAACCGCGUGUUGUUAGUCUCCAAGAUCAAACUAUUGACAAACUCUUGGAAACAAGCCUUCUCGACUAACCGAGUCUAAUGUUUUUUUUCUUUUCUUUUCUUUUCUUUUUUUUUCAUGCCGUCUCGCGUCUCUUUCGAGGCCUUCAAUGUCUCAUCCUUGUUGCUUAAUUCAUAUUUACAUUGAAUGAAGCGAGUAUCGUACUAUCUAUUUCUUAAAAAAAAAAAAAGCAAAACUAGUCAUAUAUAAUUAACCUUUUAAAAUUUUAUUCAAACUAAUAUUC
rnacentral:lncRNA from 1 species